CCCGCCUGCCCUUUUCGGGCGUUUCCUCCCUAGACUUCGAACCGCCUCCGGGUCCGCCGUUUUUCCGCCACA
rnacentral:sRNA from 1 species